CUGAUUUACAAAUAUGGCAAAAGCUAAAAAAUACACAUGGUUUUUAUAGAUAGAGGCGAGGUAGGAAAAUAAAAUAAAUAUAAACACAUAGUUUAUUUCUUUUUUUUCUUAAGGUAUUAUAGAUAUAAAGAAUGCCUUGAAAAGUCCCGUUAACACCAGUGUUGAAGUUUAAUUUAAAAAGUGAAAACUUGUAUUAAUUUAGUUAAUUAAAUUUGGUUAAUUUUGGUGCCAGCAUCCGCGGUUACACCGAGAAAUUAAGUCAUAUUAAAACGGUAAAAAGACAGUUAGACAUAAUUGAUUAAGGUUUAUUUGAUUUUUUAUAAAAAAGUAAAAUUUGCAUAUAAUUAUAUAAUUUGAUUAAAAACUGUAAAGUUGAAUCUGUGACGGCCUGGAGGGAAACUGGGAUUAGAUACCCCAUUAUUCCUGGAUGUAAAUAAAAUUUAAAUUUACCAGAGUACUAUGAAUAUAUAAAAUUUAAAACUCAAAGGACUUGGCGGUAUUUUAGACCAUUUAGGGGAACCUGUCUCAUAAUCGAUAGUCCACGCUACACCUAACCUUUUUUUGCUUUCAGCUUGUAUAUCGUUGUCGUCAGGUAACUUUUUAGAAAUUAGAAGUUAGCUAAAAACAGUAAAUUUAAACGUCAAAUCAAGGUGCAGUUAAUAAAAAGGUGAGGAUGGGUUACAAUUAUUUCAAUUAUAAUUACGGAAAAUCGUAAGAAUUGACGAUUCUAAGGAGGACUUAAAAGUAAAUUAGAUUAUAUAAAUAAUUUGAAUAAGGCUCUGAAAUGUGCACACAUCGCCCGUCGCUCUUGUUGGAAAAUAAGAUAAGUCGUAACAUAGUAGGGGUAAUGGAAAUUGCCCCUAAACU
rnacentral:ncRNA from 1 species